GACGAACGCUGGUGGCGUGCUUAACACAUGCAAGUCGAACGGGAUUUAGUAAACAGCAGCCUCGGUGGAAGAUUACUAGUGAGAGUGGCGAACAGGUGAGUAACGCGUGAGCAACCUUCCUAUGACAGAGGGAUAGCCUCGUGAUACCAGGAUUAAUCCCGCAUAAACUCGUAGAAACACAUGUUUUAACGGUCACGGAUUUAUCGGUCAUAGAUGUGCUCGCGACUGAUUAGCUAGUUGGUGAGAUAACAGCCCACCAAGGCGACGAUCAGUAGCCGGUCUGAGAGGAUGAACAGCCACACUGGAACUGAGACACGGUCCAAACUCCUACGGGAAGCAGCAGUGGGGAAUAUUGCACAAUGGGGGAAAGCCUGAUGCAGCGACGCCGCGUGAACGAAGAAGGUAUUCGUAUUGUAAAGUUCUGUCCUAAGGGAAGAUAAUGACAGUACCAUAGGAGAAAGCUCCGGCUAAAUACGUG
rnacentral:rRNA from 1 species